rnacentral:lncRNA from 1 species
UUGCUACUGUGCCAGCAUCUGACUAUGUUUGCGUGUAUGCGGAGUGUGCAUUACUCUAAUUAAAGUGAGAUCAGGUUGAUGCUGGGUAUCUAGACCAAGGCCCUACAAUCUUGCUAAUCUAUGGCGCAAGGCAGAGGAGACAAAAGGAAAGGUGAUGAACAAAAGAGAGAAGAAAAGAGUGGAUAAAAAUUAAGCAGCUCCCUUUUGAAUCUUCUGAACAGAUGGAACAAGGACGGGGACAUUCCUUGAAAGCGAAAACCACAAAACGCUCCCUAUUUUUUAUGUCAUUGUACACCAAUGCAAUGAG